AGAACGAACGCUGGCGGCGUGCUUAACACAUGCAAGUCGAGUGCGCGUUCUUGUAGCAAUACAGGAAUGGCGCACGGCGCACGGGUGCGUAACACGUGGGUAAUCUGCCCUCCGAUGGGGAAUAACCCCGCGAAAGCGGGGCUAAUUCCGCAUAAUAUUCCUUGGACUCCGGUUCGAGGAUUCAAAGGCGUAAGUCGUCGGAGGUGGAGCCCGCGCCCGAUUAGCUAGUUGGUGAGGUAACGGCUCACCAAGGCAAUGAUCGGUAGCU
rnacentral:rRNA from 1 species